GAUGAACGCUGGCGGCGUGCCUAAUACAUGCAAGUAGAACGCUGAAGCUUGGUGCUUGCACCGAGCGGAUGAGUUGCGAACGGGUGAGUAACGCGUAGGUAACCUGCCUGGUAGCGGGGGAUAACUAUUGGAAACGAUAGCUAAUACCGCAUAACAGUAGAUAUUGCAUGAUAUCUGCUUGAAAGGUGCAAAUGCCUCACUACCAGAUGGACCUGCGUUUGAUUAGCUAGUUGGUGAGGUAACGGCUCACCAAGGCGACGAUACAUAGCCGACCUGAAAGGGUGAUCGGCCACAAUGGGAACGGGACACGGCCCAGACUCCUACGGGAGGCAGCAGUAGGGAAUCUUCGGCAAUGGGGGGAACCCUGACCGAGCAACGCCGCGUGAGUGAAGAAGGGUCUCGGAUCGUAAAGGUCUGUUGUAAGAGAAGAACGAGUGUGAGAGUGGAAAGUUCACACUGUGACGGUAGCUUAACAGAAAGGGACGGCUAACUACGUG
rnacentral:rRNA from 1 species